GCUUGUUUGAGUGUCAAAUAUAAUACUUAUGUGUCCAGAAGCAUGUUGGCGGGGGAUAUCAAUUCAACGUAUUUGCUUGUAAAUAAAAAAUUAAACCAAUGGAAUUGGUUUUUAGGUAUCUGAGUGUGCAUUUUCAUACCAAUAGAAUUACACAUCAUUCUAAUUAUAGCAAUAAUAAAUUUGUACUAAUCAUACCAACAAAUUAAGUUAUGCUUUGUGCUUUGCGAUGUAUUCACUUCGUUUUUAGUUCUCUUUUGAAAGACCAUUUAACAACUUAAUAUUUAAAACAAUUCAUGAAUUACGUUCCCUAUACAUUUUCAUUAUGUGCUUUAAUUACCAUUGACCAGUUGACGGAAGAUACUGCAGAGUUUGGCAGGGAAAUAAUCCAACAGCAAAGCGGCUCUUUAAGCGCAUUUACCUAGAGGACUUACAGGGCCACAAAUUCAUGAGCACAUGUGAGCAGUAUACAAUGUACCUCAUACCAAAAAGGACCCGGAGGCAGUGACUGGUGUUCAAUAUUCUCAGAAGAAAAGGAAAAUGGCAGUGGAAGACUUGGACAAACAUUUUUAAAAACUAGCCUCUGUGUUAAGCCUGGCAGUCUGUGGCUGGUGACAUGUUUUAUUUUGGUUACUUCUUGUAUAAAAAAGACCAGUUAUUUAUUUUGUGAAUUGUA